rnacentral:rRNA from 1 species
GAUGAACGCUGGCGGCGUGCCUAAUACAUGCAAGUCGGGCGAACGGACGAGAAGCUUGCUUCUCUGAUGUUAGCGGCGGACGGGUGAGUAACACGUGGAUAACCUACCUAUAAGACUGGGAUAACUUCGGGAAACCGGAGCUAAUACCGGAUAAUAUUUUGAACCGCAUGGUUCAAAAGUGAAAGACGGUCUUGCUGUCACUUAUAGAUGGAUCCGCGCUGCAUUAGCUAGUUGGUAAGGUAACGGCUUACCAAGGCAACGAUGCAUAGCCGACCUGAGAGGGUGAUCGGCCACGCUGGAACUGAGACACGGUCCAGACUCCUACGGGAGGCAGCAGUAGGGAAUCUUCCGCAAUGGGCGAAAGCCUGACGGAGCAACGCCGCGUGAGUGAUGAAGGUCUUCGGAUCGUAAAACUCUGUUAUUAGGGAAGAACAUAUGUGUAAGUAACUGUGCACAUCUUGACGGUACCUAAUCAGAAAGCCACGGCUAACUACGUG